GCAAGUUUUAAAAACUUAAGUGCUAUAUUUAAAUUUCACAUGAACAUUUUAUCAAAGACCACUCUGCAUGUGAGUUAGUCUCGGUGCCAGCAAGUAAAGCCUCGCUUCUCUGCUCGCCUGAGUUGGGUGCUGGUGUGAACAGUUGACUCCUGGUGUCUGUUUCACUCUGUAUAAGAGCCAUAUGUAAUGUACUGUAACAAACGAGCUUCUUACCACUUGGUCUUUUAAUUAAAUGACUUCAAACUUUACCCUUGUCCACAGUAGUCUAAAGUGUCUUCCCCACCUCCACCCCCAAAAUGUUAAUCUGCAACUGUCCAAUUUGAGCCCCCCCCGGCUUUGACAUCUAAAUCAGACUGUAAAAACCACUGUUCUCGUUCAUUGUUGAACUGUAGCCAUGAUGAUGCUGAAAUUGGUACAUCACACAUAUAUGCACACGGAUCUCUUCCCUGCAUCUUUUUAUGUGGCUAUUGAACUUAGAGCCUCACACUUGCCAGGCAAAAGCUGUACCCCAGCAGUACCCAGUAUCUACAAAAAUUGGUACCAACUAAUUUGAUUGGUGUAUUAGCUAUAAAAAUUUUUGAGGUGCUAUUAUGUUCCCAGCAUUCAAUUAACAUUUCUGUAGUAGCUCACUUUCCUCCCUAGUCUGUUUUCCUCAUUGAAACCUUUUACCAUCUUGGUAUGACUUAAAGGAAUCUCUAUCUAUCUAUCUCUCUAUCUAUCUCUCUAUCUCUCUAUCUAUCUAUCUAUCUAUCUAUCUCUAUCUAUCUAUCUAUCUAUCUAUCGAUCUAUCUAUCUAUCUAUCUCAUCCAUCCAAAACCUUCAGCUAUCUUCUGUGACCUCCAAGAAAUCCUCUGUGGAAUGUGCACACGAAACGAGCUUUCUGUGGGACUCAACUGCAUUCCUGGUAGACUUAAAACCCCGCCUGCCUCCCUCCCCACCCCCACCACCCGCAUGAAAGCUCUCCUUCCUUACGCAGCACGGGAUCCAUAUUGGCAUCUUGUACAGAGUAUAGAGGAGCUCUGCUAUGAGUGAAUGAACAAGAAACUGAAGCCGAUCAAAACCCAAAGCCUACAGUUGGGUUCCAGCUGGAGAUAGGUCUCUGUUUGGUAAAAUCCUUCUUACUUGUGGUCCUUGUGAUUACAGAUGAACGACUGCUGCUGUUUCCUUCUUCAUCAAGAGUCUUCUUGUUACCUUUUAGUUCCUUCUGCUUAUCUGUGCUUUGUUUCUCCAGCUGGCAAAUAAUCAAAGUAAGGAAAAUAAUGAAUUCAAUAAAAACAUUUUCUU
rnacentral:lncRNA from 1 species